UGGCUUAGUUGGUUAAAGCGCCGGACUAGCGAUACGGAGUUGUUGGUUCAAAUCCUAC
rnacentral:tRNA from 1 species